rnacentral:rRNA from 1 species
GACGAACGCUGGCGGCGUGCUUAACACAUGCAAGUCGAACGGAAAGGCCCUGCUUUUGUGGGGUGCUCGAGUGGCGAACGGGUGAGUAACACGUGAGUAACCUGCCCUUGACUUUGGGAUAACUUCAGGAAACUGGGGCUAAUACCGGAUAGGAGCUCCUGCUGCAUGGUGGGGGUUGGAAAGUUUCGGCGGUUGGGGAUGGACUCGCGGCUUAUCAGCUUGUUGGUGGGGUAGUGGCUUACCAAGGCUUUGACGGGUAGCCGGCCUGAGAGGGUGACCGGCCACAUUGGGACUGGGAUACGGCCCAGACUCCUACGGGGGGCAGCAGUGGGGAAUAUUGCACAAUGGGCGGAGGCCUGAUGCAGCAACGCCGCGUGCGGGAUGACGGCCUUCGGGUUGUAAACCGCUUUCGCCUGUGACGAAGCGUGAGUGACGGUAAUGGGUAAAGAAGCACCGGCUAACUACGU